CCCUUUGUACACACCGCCCGUCGCUACUACCGAUUGAAUGGCUUAGUGAGGCUUCAAGAUUGGCGCCGCGGGAGGGGCAACUUUCCCAUGGGGCCGAGAAUCUAGUCAAACUUGGUCAUUUAGAGGUCGUAAAAGUCGUAACAAGGUUUCCGUAGGUGAACCUGCGGAAGGAUCAUUACUGUGAUUUAGUACUACACUGCGUGAGCGGAACGAAAACAACAACACCUAAAAUGUGGAAUAUAGCAUAUAGUCCGACAAGAGAAAUCUACGAAAAACAAACAAAACUUUCAACAACGGAUCUCUUGGUUCUCGCAUCGAUGAAGAGCGCAGCGAAAUGCGAUACCUAGUGUGAAUUGCAGCCAUCGUGAAUCAUCGAGUUCUUGAACGCACAUUGCGCCCCUCGGCAUUCCGGGGGGCAUGCCUGUUUGAGCGUCGUUUCCAUCUUGCGCGUGCGCAGAGUUGGGGGAGCGGAGCGGACGACGUGUAAAGAGCGUCGGAGCUGCGACUCGCCUGAAAGGGAGCGAAGCUGGCCGAGCGAACUAGACUUUUUUUCAGGGACGCUUGGCGGCCGAGAGCGAGUGUUGCGAGACAACAAAAAGCUCGACCUCAAAUCAGGUAGGAAUACCCGCUGAACUUAAGCAUAUCAAUAAGCGGAGGAAAAGAAACCAACAGGGAUUGCCUCAGUAGCGGCGAGUGAAGCGGCAAGAGCUCAGAUUUGAAAUCGUGCUUUGCGGCACGAGUUGUAGAUUGCAGGUUGGAGUCUGUGUGGAAGGCGGUGUCCAAGUCCCUUGGAACAGGGCGCCCAGGAGGGUGAGAGCCCCGU
rnacentral:rRNA from 1 species